UACGUAGGGUGCGAGCGUUGUCCGGAAUUAUUGGGCGUAAAGGGCUCGUAGGCGGUUCGUCACGUCGGGAGUGAAAACUCGGGGCUUAACCCCGAGCCUGCUUCCGAUACGGGCAGACUAGAGGUAGGCAGGGGAGAGCGGAACUCCUGGUGUAGCGGUGAAAUGCGCAGAUAUCAGGAGGAACACCGGUGGCGAAGGCGGGUCUCUGGGCCGAUACUGACGCUGAGGAGCGAAAGCGUGGGGAGCGAACAGG
rnacentral:rRNA from 1 species